CAGGAGAUAAAGGAGAGCUUAAAGAACUGUGACUUUCCGAAGAUGUAGCUUGUGGGCUCACCAUCUUUGGUGUAGUAACCACUACACAUGAUGGAGUCCUGCUUUCCUGGGGAUGGCUGAACACCUGCCUGCCAGUGGGAAGUAACUCUGAACAGUUGCCAGGGAUUGUCCAUAAUCCCUCGAGGAAGCCAUGGGGAGCUUCUCAUGAACCCAGGCCAACUC